AGUAACACGUGGGCAAUCUGCCCUGCACUUCGGGAUAAGCCUGGGAAACUGGGUCUAAUACCGGAUAGGACCUUUAGACGCAUGUCUUUUGGUGGAAAGCUUUUGCGGUGUGGGAUGGGCCCGCGGCCUAUCAGCUUGUUGGUGGGGUGAUGGCCUACCAAGGCGACGACGGGUAGCCGGCCUGAGAGGGUGUCCGGCCACACUGGGACUGAGAUACGGCCCAGACUCCUACGGGAGGCAGCAGUGGGGAAUAUUGCACAAUGGGCGCAAGCCUGAUGCAGCGACGCCGCGUGGGGGAUGACGGCCUUCGGGUUGUAAACCUCUUUCACCAUCGACGAAGGUCCGGGUUUUCUCGGAUUGACGGUAGGUGGAGAAGAAGCACCGGCCAACUACGUGCCAGCAGCCGCGGUAAUACGUAGGGUGCGAGCGUUGUCCGGAAUUACUGGGCGUAAAGAGCUCGUAGGUGGUUUGUCGCGUUGUUCGUGAAAUCUCACGGCUUAACUGUGAGCGUGCGGGCGAUACGGGCAGACUAGAGUACUGCAGGGGAGACUGGAAUUCCUGGUGUAGCGGUGGAAUGCGCAGAUAUCAGGAGGAACACCGGUGGCGAAGGCGGGUCUCUGGGCAGUAACUGACGCUGAGGAGCGAAAGCGUGGGGAGCGAACAGGAUUAGAUACCCUGGUAGUCCACGCCGUAAACGGUGGGUACUAGGUGUGGGUUUCCUUCCUUGGGAUCCGUGCCGUAGCUAACGCAUUAAGUACCCCGCCUGGGGAGUACGGCCGCAAGGCUAAAACUCAAAGGAAUUGACGGGGGGCCCGCACAA
rnacentral:rRNA from 1 species